UCAGGAUGAACGCUGGCGGCGUGCUUAACACAUGCAAGUCGAACGGAAAGGCCACAGCUUGCUGUGGUACUCGAGUGGCGAACGGGUGAGUAACACGUGGGUGAUCUGCCCUGUACUUCGGGAUAAGCUUGGGAAACUGGGUCUAAUACCGGAUAGGAAUCACAUGUGGGUGUGUGGUUGGAAAGCUUUUGCGGUAUGGGAUGAGCUCGCGGCCUAUCAGCUUGUUGGUGGGGUAAUGGCCUACCAAGGCGUCGACGGGUAGCCGGCCUGAGAGGGUGUACGGCCACAUUGGGACUGAGAUACGGCCCAGACUCCUACGGGAGGCAGCAGUGGGGAAUAUUGCACAAUGGGCGCAAGCCUGAUGCAGCGACGCCGCGUGGGGGAUGACGGCCUUCGGGUUGUAAACUCCUUUCGUCAGGGACGAAGCGAAAGUGACGGUACCUGGAUAAGAAGCACCGGCUAACUACGUGCCAGCAGCCGCGGUAAUACGUAGGGUGCGAGCGUUGUCCGGAAUUACUGGGCGUAAAGAGCUCGUAGGUGGUUUGUCGCGUCGUUUGUGUAAGUCCACGGCUUAACUGUGGGAUGGCAGGCGAUACGGGCAUAACUUGAGUGCUGUAGGGGAGACUGGAAUUCCUGGUGUAGCGGUGAAAUGCGCAGAUAUCAGGAGGAACACCGAUGGCGAAGGCAGGUCUCUGGGCAGUAACUGACGCUGAGGAGCGAAAGCAUGGGUAGCGAACAGGAUUAGAUACCCUGGUAGUCCAUGCCGUAAACGGUGGGCGCUAGGUGUGAGUCCCUUCCACGGGGUUCGUGCCGUAGCUAACGCAUUAAGCG
rnacentral:rRNA from 1 species